rnacentral:rRNA from 1 species
AGUGGCGGACGGGUGAGUAACGCGUGGGUAACCUGCCUCAUACAGGGGGAUAACAGUUAGAAAAUGACUGCUAAUACCGCAUAAGACCACAGCACCGCAUGGUGCAGGGGUAAAAACUCCGGUGGUAUGAGAUGGACCCGCGUCUGAUUAGGUAGUUGGUGGGGUAACGGCCUACCAAGCCGACGAUCAGUAGCCGACCUGAGAGGGUGACCGGCCACAUUGGGACUGAGACACGGCCCAA